AGGACGAACGCUGGCGGCGUGCUUAACACAUGCAAGUCGAACGGAAAGGCCCUUCGGGGUACUCGAGUGGCGAACGGGUGAGUAACACGUGGGUGAUCUGCCCCGCACUUUGGGAUAAGCCUGGGAAACUGGGUCUAAUACCGAAUAGGACCAUGGCAUGCAUGUGCUGUGGUGGAAAGCUUUUGCGGUGUGGGAUGGGCCCGCGGCCUAUCAGCUUGUUGGUGGGGUUAAGGUCUACCAAGGCGACGACGGGUAGCCGGCCUGAGAGGGUGUCCGGCCACACUGGGACUGAGAUACGGCCCAGACUCCUACGGGAGGCAGCAGUGGGGAAUAUUGCACAAUGGGCGCAAGCCUGAUGCAGCGACGCCGCGUGGGGGAUGACGGCCUUCGGGUUGUAAACCCGUUUCAGUAGGGACGAAGCGCAAGUGACGGUACCUACAGAAGAAGCACCGGCCAACUACGCGCCAGCAGCCGC
rnacentral:rRNA from 1 species